rnacentral:rRNA from 1 species
UACGAAGGGGGCAAGCGUUGUUCGGAAUUACUGGGCGUAAAGGGCGCGUAGGCGGCUUAUCAAGUCAGGCGUGAAAUUCCCGGGCUCAACCUGGGGGCUGCGCUUGAUACUGAUUGGCUUGAAUGCGGGAGGAGGAUAGUGGAAUUCCCAGUGUAGAGGUGAAAUUCGUAGAUAUUGGGAAGAACACCGGUGGCGAAGGCGGCUAUCUGGCCCGUAAUUGACGCUGAGGCGCGAAAGCGUGGGGAGCGAGUCCGG